UUUCUGGUGGUCCAGUGGUUAAGAUUCCUUGCUCCCAAUGCAGGGGGCCCAGGUUCAAUCCCUGGUCAGGGAA
rnacentral:tRNA from 1 species